CGGGUGAGUAGCACGUAUGCAACCUGCCUGCCACAGCCGGAUAAUCGGGAGAAAUUCCGUCUAAUACGGCAUAAUGCAUCGACGGGACAUCCUGUUGGUGCCAAAGGUUAAUUCCGGUGGCGGAUGGGCAUGCGUCGCAUUAGUUAGUUGGCGGUGUAACGGACCACCAAGACGACGAUGCGUAGGGGUUCUGAGAGGAAGGUCCCCCACACUGGUACUGAGACACGGACCAGACUCCUACGGGAGGCAGCAG
rnacentral:rRNA from 1 species